GGUGGGAGUGUAACAUCCCCCGUGCCCCCUUCGGCCCUGUCCGCUUCUCAGAGAAGAUCCAGCGCUUCACCCCCUUCUCUCUGGGCUUCGAGUUCCUCCCCGGACACCACUACUACUACAGCUCAACCGUAGGGUCCAAGCAAAACAAGCAGGAACAAGGUACUCCAGCUCUUCACAGUGAUGUGUGUUCAAUGAGGACAGUUCCUCUUUCUCUCCUCCUCCUCCUCAUCCCACUCUUGAACUUCCUCUCUAUCUAACAUCCCUCUAUUCAAGCUGACCUCCUGAGUAUCUACCAUGCCCACUGUAGAUGGCCUGCCUCACCCACUCAGUCCCUACUUUAAACUAUCCACACCUCAUAGGGAGGCCAAGUCUUCAUUUCAGACCCUCAAACAGACUGACACUAAUCUACCAUCAAAGCUCUCAUUCUUCAUUUCCCACCUUUAUCCACUCUAUCCUGUAGACUCCAUCUGUCGUCUCUCUCCUCUCUUCCUCACUUCCUCUCUCUCUGUCUCUGUCUCUCUCUCUCUUCUUCUCUCUCUCUCUCUCUCUCUCUCUCUCUGUCUCUGUGUGUGUGAACAUAAUGUGCCAGCUGAGCCAAAGUGGAUCAUCCAGACGUUGUUCUGUUAAAUUACUACGGAGAGGACCAGACUUGGAGUUGACUGGCUGUCAGAGUUGACUGCUUCUGAACAGAACCAUGUUUUUGAGUUGACCUCAUUGGAUUUGAAAGUCAUUGUUUUUUAGAUGAAAAACUAUUUUUUUUUUGUAUCCAAAGUGGGACCAACUGUUAAACACAGUAACACCAAAUGUUGACCAAACUUUAUUAAAAAAGUUAACCAGUGACGACACUGCCUAAACCAGGAUAUGCUGUGUGAGUGGGACCCUGGGAAUGAUGAACUGGAAUAUUGUAACUGGUCUGCUACGCCCUCUACUGGGAUCAUACUGGUUAGACUGGUCCAACUGGGCUGUAACACCUGACACUCUGGGAGUAAUCUGACCAUAUCUGGAAUUAACUGGACUGUGUCUGGUGGUUUACCUUUGUCUUAAAAGGCAAUCAAAAGGAAUUGUGGGAAACACACUGAGGGUACUUCCUCACUUCACCUCACACGCACCGAACCACAUCGGCUGAUUGACAGAUGCUCCUCACCAACCAG
rnacentral:lncRNA from 13 species